rnacentral:lncRNA from 12 species
ACUGACCUGGCCUUGACAUUCUGUGAAUGCUUUGUCUGCCACUGAAGGGCGACAUGCUAACUUUCACUAAAUUGUACUUUCUUCUCUUAAUGUUAUAAGAGUUAACAAAGAUACUAAUCACUUUCCAUGGCAACUGCCAUUGUCAUUCCAACAGAUAGUUGUUUUUUGGCCCUAAAAAUCUCAUGAAAAUGAAGUAAAAUAUUAGUGAAAUGGCCCAUGCCCAUGUACAUUUUGGGGAUUAUAAUUACACAGGUCAUUUAUAUCUUUAGCUAUUCUCUCCUUGUACUCUUUUUUUCCUUGAAUCACCCAGAUGAAACAGUGACUUACAUUCAUCUUAAAUGAGACCUUUUAUAUCUCAUCCACUAAACACCCUGGUUGAAACACCCCCAUUGUCAACAGCCAUUCCAGCUCUGGGCAGUUGCUCCAGACCUUUGGUUUACUUUCCUGCUUUACCCUUCUUGAUCUGUAGGAAAAAAAGAAAAAGUACUAUUUCUAUUCUCUGUAAUUUAGAAACUUCAUGGCCCGGACUCUCUUUUUUAAUCUUUUAGUCUUGGAUUUGCUUUUCUUCUCCCUCCAGUAUGCCUUCUACCCUGGUGUGUCCUGGGUUCUCAGAUCUCCCCACUUCAAUCCUGGCCUUAUGGAAACUGCCUGUUGCCUGCAACUGAAAACCAGAGGGAGAGAGGGACUUAUAAACAGUAAAGGAGAAGGCACUGUGACCACAGAGGCAGAGGUUGGAGUGAUGCAGCCACAGGAAGCUGAAGGAAGCACAGAAUGGAUUCUCCCCCAGAGCCUCUAG